GGGUUUGUAAAAGUAGACCUUUGGACAAGGCGCUAGCUGUCAAAACAGCUCGAAGUCCAAAACAGUUGGAGCAGUAGGUGGAGAGGAGCGACCUCGCUCAGCGACACCCCCGCCCGGCUCCGGAGGAAAAUGACGAGAAAGAAGAAGGAAAACAACAUGUCUCUUCCCACUGCAGACAAUGAGCUGGAAGUGCUGUCAGACUCCCCAAUGAAGAGAAGAAAAGGAGGCAUUGCUGCUCCAACAGGCUGCGAUCUGAACCGUACACUGGCACCAAGCUCAUAAACCAUGUUCCUGUCAGAAAGUACACUAGACUUCAAUUAUUUGUGGAGACCAAACGGGAUGGCAGCUGACAGAUUCCUCUUAACAUCAUUCAUCAUAACUCCCUCCAGUUUUCCAGAUGCGGUUUUUGGCAAAUCAGAGUAAUGAGAAUAUCUCAUGAGCUACUGCCCUCUCUCUCUCUCUGAUGGAGUGUUCCCUCUGGAGUCUCGGCCAUCAGUCUUCAGGAGAAUCUGA